GGGGGGGGGACCUCCCCUCCCAGCAUCUCAAGACCACCUCGGGAGGCUCGGCACCUUCGGGACCCUCAAACAGCCAUCAGAUGAAGGUGCUGGGGAUGGAACCCAGAACCCUGAACAUGCUAGACAAGCGCUCACCACUGUUAUGCACUCUUGGGGCCUGACCUCACUGCUUUUCAGGGUGCAGCUCGGCACAGUGGAGCACUUUCACCUGACUGUGCCGCCAUCCCCACCGUCCACUCCAGAGCUUUCUCACCUCCUGAACUGAACCUCAGUCCCAGGAGAUCUGACCCCUCUCCAGCCCACAGGACCACGACCCAUCGCUGAGGUUCUCCGGAGGGCGCCACCCCAGCAAGGCAGAUGAGAGUAAGGACCCAGAAGCCAUGGAGAUGUCUGUCCCCGAACAGGGACUGGCUGAAUUGUCAGUCCCCAGCAUGGCGUGCUCCCUCCCACCAGGCCCAGAAUCAACCUGGCUAAGUGACUGCCCUGGAACCUCUGAAACUAUGAGCUCUAAUCAACCUCUCCUCCUUGCGAUCUGUGCAUCUAGGACAAUGGGAAAUAGGGAGGUAGAGCUUUUGCAGAUGGGAAGGGGACCUAGGGAUGGAGGGAAAGGGGAAGGAGGGGAAGGAAGAGGAAGGGAAAAUAAAAAGAACUAAGAUGCCAUAUGUAUGGGCACUCGCUCCCAUGAUGAAUAUAUUCAGCACAUAUCAUAAACAUGUAC
rnacentral:lncRNA from 1 species